AAAACAACAAAUGAGGAAUGGAGGAGAAGAGUGAAAGGGCGGCCAAGAUGAUUAUGCCCAAAAUCUACCAUCACCUGCAUGCAUGCUCCUACCAAGAGACUAUGACCAUUCCUCAUUGAAGGGCAAGGAGCCAUGACCAUCAAAAGCGACUAAGGCCUCAACCACCAAACAAAGCAGAGCUGGUGUGGUGGGUCCAAAGCCUAGCGCGAU
rnacentral:lncRNA from 1 species